CAUUAAUUUUGUAGUAAUUUAAUCGCUCGCACUUGGAUUUCUCCAAAUUUUUACUCGUAUCUACAUUGGUGAAUUCAGUGUUGCAAUAUGGCGUAUAUCAAGAAAUUUUUGCUUUUUGCACUGAUAUUAUUCACAGUCGAAUUUAUUCCUGGAAGUGCUAGAACACUACGUACGAAAAUACUUCGUGAUUGUGAAGGUAAUUUCAAUAAUAUACUGUGUAACUGUAAUUGCAUCGCUUCAGGUUAUACACAUGGAAAAUGUAUAUUUCGGAGACCUGAAGAGACCAAAGUGAUAUGUUUGUGUUAUAAAUUUGAAGAAUAAAUAAACAUUGAUGUUAAAUUCU